rnacentral:rRNA from 1 species
GACGAACGCUGGCGGCGUGCCUAAUACAUGCAAGUAGAACGGUGAAGGAGGAGCUUGCUCUUCUGGAUGAGUUGCGAACGGGUGAGUAACGCGUAGGUAACCUGCCUGGUAGCGGGGGAUAACUAUUGGAAACGAUAGCUAAUACCGCAUAACAGUAGAUGUUGCAUGACAUUUACUUAAAAGGUGCAAUUGCAUCACUACCAGAUGGACCUGCGUUGUAUUAGCUAGUUGGUGGGGUAACGGCUCACCAAGGCGACGAUACAUAGCCGACCUGAGAGGGUGAUCGGCCACACUGGGACUGAGACACGGCCCAGACUCCUACGGGAGGCAGCAGUAGGGAAUCUUCGGCAAUGGACGGAAGUCUGACCGAGCAACGCCGCGUGAGUGAAGAAGGUUUUCGGAUCGUAAAGCUCUGUUGUAAGAGAAGAACGAGUGUGAGAGUGGAAAGUUCAUACUGUGACGGUAUCUUACCAGAAAGGGACGGCUAACUACGUG